rnacentral:rRNA from 1 species
UACGUAGGGUGCAAGCGUUGCCCCGGAUUUAUUGGGCGUAAAGGCGCGUAGGCGGUCACGCACGUCCGUUGUGAAAUCGCUCGGCUCACUGGGCGGGGUCAGCGGAUACGGUGUGGGCUGGAGCAAGCGUAGGGGGCAAGUGGAAUUCCCGGUGUAGUGGUGGAAUGCGUAGAUAUCGGGAGGAACACCAGUGGCGAAGGCGGUUGCCUGGAGCUUUGCUGACGCUGAUGCGCGAAAGCGUGGGGAGCGAUCCGG